AUGGCGGCGACACGAACGAUGAUGGUGGCGGAGGCAGAGGGCGGCGGCGCGGACGGCGGUGGUGGCGGAGGCAAAGGGCGGCAGCGUGAACGAUGGUGGUGGCGGAGGCAAAAGCGGUUGCGCGAACGAUGGUGGCAGCGGAGGCAGAGGGCGGCGGCGCGAACGAUGGUGGUGGCGGAGGCAGAGGGUGGCGGCGCGGACGGCGGUGGUGGCGGAUGCAAAGGGCGGCGGCGCGCGUGUGCGUUCUCGUGCUACUGGAUAAGACGAACAAAGGAGCGCGGACGAAAUUCUUACAAUGCAGGGGUAAAUUUGCAAAACUGA
rnacentral:rRNA from 1 species